rnacentral:tRNA from 1 species
GAGAUCUUAGUUUAAUGGUAAAACGCAAGACUUUUAAUCUUCGCUAUGGGGGUUCGAAUCCCCCCGAUCUUA